rfam:Gossypium raimondii Chr08_contig_602, whole genome shotgun sequence.
ACACCAUGCAUCGGGUAUUUUCUAAUUAACUCCUUGAAUCACUCAUAUGCUUUAUAUAAUGUUUCACCCUCAAAUUGCCGAAAGGAUGUAAUAUUGUUCCUCAAUUU